AAACAUGGUUUUGUGCCUUUUUGUGAAAUUAAAUUUAAAAUGUGAAGAUUUACAAUUUUUGGGACGAGACGUCAUCGUUGUUGUCAAAUGGGCGCCUCACUUAUACGAAAACAAUGCAGAUGUCAGUCAGAAGCGUAAGCUCUGAUGGUUGGCUGGUCUUCUUUUAAACCAACUGUGGUACAAAAUGAGGAAGGACGCGAAUAUGGAAGUACAAAUUAACACAUAUGCAUAUAUGGAAACAUAAAGUGCACAUACGCACAGCAGAGAGGACAUCGAGGAUGAUUACAGGCAGUAGUUGCUGUUUCUGCAGUCGCGAGAGUGAACGCUUUCUCUCUCUCUCUCUCUCUCCCGGAAGUGCUAGCUAUUAUAAUCAUAGCGAAACCACUGUCAUCGCCACCUCUACAGAUAUAUAUUUUCAAAUAUUAUUGCUGUUUACGAGAAAAGAAGUCCUUUUUCUUUUCCUUGGAGUGCACUACCUGAUUCAAUGAAAGACAGACUAGAAAUGCAUAAAACUUUGACCAAUAAAAAUUGUAGUGAGUUAAGGAAAAUUAUGGGCAUCAUCUGAUUGGAACACAAAAAAAUUCGGGAGAAAUAUGCCUAGUUCUCUAAUUAAUAUAUUUGCUAAUAAAUAUCCACAAGCUCUAAAAAUAGAUGGAGAACAGUUAAGUGAUGGAAAAGAAGUUUUUCUUAUUAGGCUCUAUGAUCAUAUAAAUUACAAAAACCAUCCAACGAAAAAAAACCCAAAGAAAGGAAAAGCUAUGUCAGGUAAUGUCAUUGAAGAAGAUAACAAUCAGAGUGAUAUGGGAAAUAUAAAUCGCGAUGAAUAGGGCUAUGUGGC